rnacentral:rRNA from 1 species
GACGAACGCUGGCGGCGUGCUUAACACAUGCAAGUCGAACGGAAAGGCCCUGCUUUUGUGGGGUGCUCGAGUGGCGAACGGGUGAGUAACACGUGAGUAACCUGCCCUUGACUUUGGGAUAACUUCAGGAAACUGGGGCUAAUACCGGAUAGGAGCUCCUGCUGCAUGGUGGGGGUUGGAAAGUUUCGGCGGUUGGGGAUGGACUCGCGGCUUAUCAGCUUGUUGGUGGGGUAGUGGCUUACCAAGGCUUUGACGGGUAGCCGGCCUGAGAGGGUGACCGGCCACAUUGGGACUGAGAUACGGCCCAGACUCCUACGGGAGGCAGCAGUGGGGAAUAUUGCACAAUGGGCGGAAGCCUGAUGCAGCAACGCCGCGUGCGGGAUGACGGCCUUCGGGUUGUAAAGCCCUUUUGCUGGGAAAGAAAAGCAGCAGGUUAAUACCCCGCUGUUCUGACGGUACCCAAAGAAUAAGCACCGGCUAACUUCGUG